CCUCCGCCGCCACCCCGACACACGGCGACGCCGGAGACGGCCGAGGGGAGAGGCCCCGCCGCCCCCCUGCAGCCGGCCUCGCUGGUGCCCCGCAUUCCUCACAGCGGCGCCCACGAGGCGGCCAUCUUGCUUCCUGCCGCAGCGGCGCCCUCCUCCAGGCGGCGUCGCGGGCGCGAGCCUCGUGCGGCUCCGCGGCGCGCCCCCGGCCGGCGGGCGCGCCCCCGCCGCCAGGAGCCGCCGGACGGUCCCAGCCAAUGGGGCGGCCGCGGCCCGCGGCUGGCGCUCCCCGCCCCACCGGCCUCCUCCCGCGCUCCCGCCGGCCCUGCCCAAACAAAGGGUCUCCUGUGCGGGGCGCCGCGGCGGCCGCCGGCAAGAGGCGGCACGGACUCCCCGCGCGUGCGGACGCGGAGCCGCCGCCGCCGCCGCCGCCACGCGCGCGCGGUGGAGCAUCGAACAGAAAGCGUCUGCUGCAAACGGACCGCAGCGUGAACAGGCCGCCAGAUAAACAAUAAAACGCAAUUAAUUUCCCCUCGCCUCCGCCCGCUUAAAACAUUCGCCCGGGUGGAAGAAGGAUGGAGGGGGCGCAGCUCCACCGCAAGUUUUCACACGGAGCCCUAAUGGAUCACGCAGACGCCUGCUAACCGUGGGCAACAAACAAAUAACGACGUCUCUAACGCGCCGCUAGCCACUGAAGCAUUUACUGAAACAAUUUCCAGUUGACAUCUGAACCAGAAAGCUGGCCGUGGAUUUACGCGCUACACAUGAAAAACCUGCAAGAAUGUCUUUUCAGCAGCUACAGAGUGCAACUUAAAACUGUUUUCUUUAUCUACUGCUAAAUUACAAGUGUAAUUCCCGUCCGGUUAUCGGUGCAAAUCAGUUAAGUACCGCAAAUGCGCGGAUGGGAACACACAACUCAUUCUGCGGCGUUAUCAAUUAAGUCAGAGAAAGCUGUUGCUCGUUUUUGUGGUCUGAUGCUACCUCGUAUUUAAGCUCCUCAUUUGUUGCACCACAGGACUUUAUUAAAUAGGAGUUAGGAUCAGGUAAGAGAAAAGUACUGAUUUGUAAUGUUUUCCCAAAAUACCACAAGUCUACAAGGGUCUUUAAGCGUAAUAAAACCCAAGAGAGGUA